AUCUGCCCACACCGAGCCGGGUCCGCACGGCUGCCGGGCAGAGCGGGGCCCAGCACGGCCUGAAAUCCAUCGCCGUGACUGCUGCGGCCACUGCCCGGCUGAAACCACCGAGAGCAUCCACAGGCCUGGCUGAGAUAUCAACUCUCACUGCACAGACCUGCAGAGCUCCAUCCUCCCCUCGGGUGAGAGAAAAGGACAGAGUGAGGACAUGUAAAGGACAACAUGAAGACACCAAGAAUAGCAUUCGGCUACAUUUUACACUGGACAAGCUCUCCUGCCCCCAGAUGUCUGGGUAAUUGUUAAAAAUAGAAAUUUUUAGAAAGACUGCACAUAUUUUCUUCCUUAUGCCUCAAGUAAUCAGAAGAUCCACUAAUGCAAAGCUCUGGUCACCUGAUUGACCUAAUGGGAUACUGAGAACAAUUUGGUGCAAGAUAACAAAAAAUGCAUAUGUGAAUGAUGCUUCAAAUGAGAAACAGGGCAUCUCAGAGACAGCAUUUGAUUAGGAAAAAGGUUUAAAAGUAUACAAAAAUUAGUUCUAGCAGUAUUUACCUAUAACAGAGACUUAGGCAGUCAGCUGAUGACUGUAAUGAGACUAUAAAGUGAAAGCAAAAAGCACAACAAAGAUCAAAAGCUAAUCUCAAGGCAAGAUGGAUACUGUGGACUCAAAAACCAGUGCCAGGAUUCCCUAUUGCCUUUUAGCUGGAAGCUGCCCAAGGCUGGAAACAAGAAGUUACUCAUCCCAUGCAUAACGUAGAUUGCCUUGUUACCUGCUCUAUUUAAUCAGCAAACAAAUCAAUGUAAUCCAUAUGACAUAUGACUGGACUGGUCUGCUUGCUACUAUUGCCUGUACCCCUGCAAAAUGUGUCACAAGGGGUUUUGAUCCAAACCUUUUCUAACACCUUUUUCUAGCCACUAUUUCCUAGAUGUUUUAUUUAUUUAGAAUACAUCGAUCUACAUGACAAAUACAUAUGAACACACUGCACUGUGAAAUAUCUGGCUGCAGAGAUAAGAUGGUAGAAAUCUUUUGAAAAUGCAACAUUUCUAGGGUUUUGCUAAUGAACCACCCACCAAAAGGGAGUAGCACGUCUUAAAGGAAGCAAUGUCUAGAAUGCUGAAUAACUCAGCACUCAGGAGAACAGCGUUUUGUUUCUUCUGUGCAUCUUAACCUCUGCUCUGCAGGGAAUAUUCUCUAGGACGGCAUCUAAAGAAAGUGUAUUAGGCUCUAUGCUAAUCACUUCUGAGCCUUUCAAGUAACUGCUGCUGAUUGUAUCAAAAAUGUGCCAAGAGAAACAAACUGAGAAUGCAAAAUCCAUUUGAAUUUUCUUUUGAAGCUACAAGUUAAAACUCCUGGCAGCACCAGUGCUUUCAGCAGUGUAAGAUUUUCAUACUUUGUGCACUUCAAAGUGCAGAUGAGGAUUAUGACCUUAUAUAUUGUAUAUGCACCUAUAUUUUAUUUAUACUGCAUCUGUGCAAUCAAGAGAAAAGAUAUUUCCAUGACCUUCUACCAGCAAGAAACCUAACAAGAGUAUUCAGACCUAUUGAAAAUUCACAGUUAAUUAAAGGUUAAAAGGAACUUGCCAAUUAGUAUGAAAGAUAA